rnacentral:rRNA from 1 species
CGUUCUGUAAGCCGUUGAAGGUGGCCUGUGAGGGUUGCUGGAGGUAUCAGAAGUGCGAAUGCUGACAUAAGUAACGAUAAAGCGGGUGAAAAGCCCGCUCGCCGGAAGACCAAGGGUUCCUGUCCAACGUUAAUCGGGGCAGGGUGAGUCGACCCCUAAGGCGAGGCCGAAAGGCGUAGUCGAUGGGAAACGGGUUAAUAUUCCCGUACUUGGUGUUACUGCGAAGGGGGGACGGAGAAGGCUAUGUUGGCCGGGCGACGGUUGUCCCGGUUUAAGCGUGUAGGUGUGUGUUCCAGGUAAAUCCGGUUCACUUUAACACUGAGGCGUGACGACGAGGCACUACGGUGCUGAAGCAACAAAUGCCCUGCUUCCAGGAAAAGCCUCUAAGCAUCAGGUAACAUCAAAUCGUACCCCAAACCGACACAGGUGGUCAGGUAGAGAAUACCAAGGCGCUUGAGAGAACUCGGGUGAAGGAACUAGGCAAAAUGGUGCCGUAACUUCGGGAGAAGGCACGCUGACACGUAGGUGAAGUGAUUUACUCAUGGAGCUGAAGUCAGUCGAAGAUACCAGCUGGCUGCAACUGUUUAUUAAAAACACAGCACUGUGCAAACACGAAAGUGGACGUAUACGGUGUGACGCCUGCCCGGUGCCGGAAGGUUAAUUGAUGGGGUCAGCGCAAGCGAAGCUCCUGAUCGAAGCCCCGGUAAACGGCGGCCGUAACUAUAACGGUCCUAAGGUAGCGAAAUUCCUUGUCGGGUAAGUUCCGACCUGCACGAAUGGCGUAAUGAUGGCCAGGCUGUCUCCACCCGAGACUCAGUGAAAUUGAACUCGCUGUGAAGAUGCAGUGUACCCGCGGCAAGACGGAAAGACCCCGUGAACCUUUACUAUAGCUUGACACUGAACAUUGAGCCUUGAUGUGUAGGAUAGGUG